rnacentral:miRNA from 1 species
AGGGGGAUGGCAGAGCAAAAUU